UAUAUAAACUCUACAUAUUGAGGAGUUUGCAGAUUUGAUAAGGGCAGAGCGGAGAUAAAUAGGGAAGAAGAUGGUGGAUAGGAUUGAAUUCAUGCAGGUCUUUUUGCCUCUUUUGAACAGAGAGAGAAGGUAUCUCAUAAUGUAAAUUAACACUUGCAUCAUAGAGAAUUAGUCUCUUCCUUCAUCUUCUACCCAUCUUUUGGUUUGGGAGAGAGUAGAAACAGUUUAUAAUGUUAUGUACAGAAAAGUCUCUACUCCUCCACCCUCAUUUUUUUCUUUGUUCCCUCCUCCUUGUGGCAUAUAUUUAGGGCCUUUUCCUCUAACUUCUCUUGUAGGUUUAGGUUAAUUUGAUGAUGUAUCAUUGUUCUGUCUCUUCAAUCUCUUAUGGUUUAAAAAAAAAAAAAGUUCAAAUUGCUUCCAAUAACAUUGUCUUGUAUACACAUAAACAUUAGAUUACAUAGUUCAUUUCUAGAAUAGUUAAACACUAUGUUACAAAAGCUCAUCUUCAUAAUUCAUUUCUAGAAUAGUUAAAACACUACUAUGUUACAAAAGCUUAUCUUCUGUUUUAUUGUCUUAAAAUCAAUUUCUCUCUAGUUAGAAAGAAGAAUCAAAGGCAUUGUUGAGAAACUGAAGAAGCUGAGCUUGAGAACUCUGAAUCAAAUCAAUCCUUCUAAUCUCCAUCUCCUUACGAAGCUUCACUGUCUCUUUAGCAAACUCCAUCUUCUUCUUCUCCAUUACCAUAACUCUCUCAGCAAACGCUCUAAUCUCCGCCGCAACAGCUCUCACUCCUUUCCUCCGCCUCUCACCACCAU
rnacentral:lncRNA from 1 species